rnacentral:rRNA from 1 species
CAGUAGCCGCGGGAAUACGGAGGGAGCUAGCGUUGUUCGGAAUUACUGGGCGUAAAGCGCACGUAGGCUGCUUUGUAAGUCAGAGGUGAAAGCCCGGGGCUCAACCCCGGAUGUGCCUUUGAGACUGCAGAGCUAGAAUCGCGGGGAGGUGAGUGGAAUUCCGAGUGUAGAGGUGAAAUUCGUAGAUAUUCGGAAGAACACCAGUGGCGAAGGCGGCUCACUGGACGCGUAUUGACGCUGAGGUGCGAAAGCGUGGGGAGCAAACAGGAUUAGAUACCCGCGUAGUCCCUGUCUCUUUACA